rnacentral:rRNA from 1 species
AUUGAACGCUGGCGGCAUGCUUUACACAUGCAAGUCGAACGGUAACAGGCCGCAAGGUGCUAACGAGUGGCGAACGGGUGAGUAAUGUAUCGGAACGUGCCCAGUCGUGGGGGAUAACGCAGCGAAAGCUGCGCUAAUACCGCAUACGAUCUAUGGAUGAAAGCGGGGGACCGUAAGGCCUCGCGCGAUUGGAGCGGCCGAUAUCAGAUUAGGUAGUUGGUGGGGUAAAGGCUCACCAAGCCAACGAUCUGUAGCUGGUCUGAGAGGACGACCAGCAACACUGGGCCUGAGACACGGCCCAGACUCCUACGGGAGGCAGCAGUGGGGAAUUUUGGACAAUGGGCGCAAGCCUGAUCCAGCAAUGCCGCGUGCAGGAAGAAGGCCUUCGGGUUGUAAACUGCUUUUGUACGGAACGAAACGGUCUGGGUUAAUACCUCGGGCUAAUGACGGUACCGUAAGAAUAAGCACCGGCUAACUACGUGCCAGCCGCCGCCGUAA